CAGUCGCCGCGGUAAUACGAAGGGUGCAAGCGUUAAUCGGAAUUACUGGGCGUAAAGCGUGCGUAGGCGGUUUGUUAAGUCUGUUGUGAAAUCCCCGGGCUCAACCUGGGAAUGGCAAUGGAUACUGGCAAGCUAGAGUGUGUCAGAGGAUGGUGGAAUUCCCGGUGUAGCGGUGAAAUGCGUAGAGAUCUGGAGGAAUACCGGUGGCGAAGGCGGCCCCCUGGACAAAGACUGACGCUCAGGUGCGAAAGCGUGGGGAGCAAACAGGAUUAGAUACCCGCGUAGUCCCUGUCUCUUAUAC
rnacentral:rRNA from 1 species